rnacentral:misc_RNA from 1 species
GAUGAAGAACGCAGCGAAAUGCGAUAAGUAGUGUGAAUUGCAGAAUUCAGUGAAUCAUCGAAUCUUUGAACGCACAUUGCGCCCUUUGGUAUUCCUUAGGGCAUGCCUGUUCGAGCGUCAUUAAGUCCACUUAAGCCCUGCUUAGUGUUGGGAGACUGCUCCAGCGGUGCUACCCUGUAGCUACCCUGCAGCUCCUCAAAGACAGCGGCGGAGUUGUGGUAUCCUCUGAGCUUAGUAACUUGUUCUAGCUUUCGAGUACACCACUUCCCCUGCCGUAAAACCCUUAAUUUUUAAUGGUUGACCUCGGAUCAGGUAGGAAUACCCGCUGAACUUAAGCAUAUCAAUAAGCGGAGGA